GGGUUGUGAGGUUAAGCGACUAAGCGUACACGGUGGAUGCCCUGGCAGUCAGAGGCGAUGAAGGACGUGCUAAUCUGCGAUAAGCGUCGGUAAGGUGAUAUGAACCGUUAUAACCGGCGAUUUCCGAAUGGGGAAACCCAGUGUGAUUCGUCACACUAUCAUUAACUGAAUCCAUAGGUUAAUGAGGCGAACCGGGGGAACUGAAACAUCUAAGUACCCCGAGGAAAAGAAAUCAACCGAGAUUCCCCCAGUAGCGGCGAGCGAACGGGGAGCAGCCCAGAGCCUGAAUCAGUGUGUGUGUUAGUGGAAGCGUCUGGAAAGGCGCGCGAUACAGGGUGACAGCCCCGUACACAAAAAUGCACAUGCUGUGAGCUCGAUGAGUAGGGCGGGACACGUGGUAUCCUGUCUGAAUAUGGGGGGACCAUCCUCCAAGGCUAAAUACUCCUGACUGACCGAUAGUGAACCAGUACCGUGAGGGAAAGGCGAAAAGAACCCCGGCGAGGGGAGUGAAAAAGAACCUGAAACCGUGUACGUACAAGCAGUGGGAGCACGCUUAGGCGUGUGACUGCGUACCUUUUGUAUAAUGGGUCAGCGACUUAUAUUCUGUAGCAAGGUUAACCGAAUAGGGGAGCCGAAGGGGAAACCGAGUCUUAACUGGGCGUUAAGUUGCAGGGUAUAGACCCGAAACCCGGUGAUCUAGCCAUGGGCAGGUUGAAGGUUGGGUAACACUAACUGGAGGACCGAACCGACUAAUGUUGAAAAAUUAGCGGAUGACUUGUGGCUGGGGGUGAAAGGCCAAUCAAACCGGGAGAUAGCUGGUUCUCCCCGAAAGCUAUUUAGGUAGCGCCUCGUGAAUUCAUCUCCGGGGGUAGAGCACUGUUUCGGCAAGGGGGUCAUCCCGACUUACCAACCCGAUGCAAACUGCGAAUACCGGAGAAUGUUAUCACGGGAGACACACGGCGGGUGCUAACGUCCGUCGUGAAGAGGGAAACAACCCAGACCGCCAGCUAAGGUCCCAAAGUCAUGGUUAAGUGGGAAACGAUGUGGGAAGGCCCAGACAGCCGGGAUGUUGGCUUAGAAGCAGCCAUCAUUUAAAGAAAGCGUAAUAGCUCACUGGUCGAGUCGGCCUGCGCGGAAGAUGUAACGGGGCUAAACCAUGCACCGAAGCUGCGGCAGCGACGCUUAUGCGUUGUUGGGUAGGGGAGCGUUCUGUAAGCCUGUGAAGGUGUACUGUGAGGUAUGCUGGAGGUAUCAGAAGUGCGAAUGCUGACAUAAGUAACGAUAAAGCGGGUGAAAAGCCCGCUCGCCGGAAGACCAAGGGUUCCUGUCCAACGUUAAUCGGGGCAGGGUGAGUCGACCCCUAAGGCGAGGCCGAAAGGCGUAGUCGAUGGGAAACAGGUUAAUAUUCCUGUACUUGGUGUUACUGCGAAGGGGGGACGGAGAAGGCUAUGUUGGCCGGGCGACGGUUGUCCCGGUUUAAGCGUGUAGGCUGGUUUUCCGGCAAAUCCGGAAAAUCAAGGCUGAGGCGUGAUGACGAGGCACUACGGUGCUGAAGCAACAAAUGCCCUGCUUCCGGGAAAAGCCUCUAAGCAUCAGGUAACAUCAAAUCGUACCCCAAACCGACACAGGUGGUCAGGUAGAGAAUACCAAGGCGCUUGAGAGAACUCGGGUGAAGGAACUAGGCAAAAUGGUGCCGUAACUUCGGGAGAAGGCACGCUGAUAUGUAGGUGAAGUCCCUCGCGGAUGGAGCUGAAAUCAGUCGAAGAUACCAGCUGGCUGCAACUGUUUAUUAAAAACACAGCACUGUGCAAACACGAAAGUGGACGUAUACGGUGUGACGCCUGCCCGGUGCCGGAAGGUUAAUUGAUGGGGUUAGCGCAAGCGAAGCUCUUGAUCGAAGCCCCGGUAAACGGCGGCCGUAACUAUAACGGUCCUAAGGUAGCGAAAUUCCUUGUCGGGUAAGUUCCGACCUGCACGAAUGGCGUAAUGAUGGCGGGCUGUCUCCACCCGAGACUCAGUGAAAUUGAACUCGCUGUGAAGAUGCAGUGUACCCGCGGCAAGACGGAAAGACCCCGUGAACCUUUACUAUAGCUUGACACUGAACAUUGAGCCUUGAUGUGUAGGAUAGGUGGGAGGCUUUGAAGUGUGGACGCCAGUCUGCAUGGAGCCGACCUUGAAAUACCACCCUUUAAUGUUUGAUGUUCUAACGUUGACCCGUAAUCCGGGUUGCGGACAGUGUCUGGUGGGUAGUUUGACUGGGGCGGUCUCCUCCUAAAGAGUAACGGAGGAGCACGAAGGUUGGCUAAUCCUGGUCGGACAUCAGGAGGUUAGUGCAAUGGCAUAAGCCAGCUUGACUGCGAGCGUGACGGCGCGAGCAGGUGCGAAAGCAGGUCAUAGUGAUCCGGUGGUUCUGAAUGGAAGGGCCAUCGCUCAACGGAUAAAAGGUACUCCGGGGAUAACAGGCUGAUACCGCCCAAGAGUUCAUAUCGACGGCGGUGUUUGGCACCUCGAUGUCGGCUCAUCACAUCCUGGGGCUGAAGUAGGUCCCAAGGGUAUGGCUGUUCGCCAUUUAAAGUGGUACGCGAGCUGGGUUUAGAACGUCGUGAGACAGUUCGGUCCCUAUCUGCCGUGGGCGCUGGAGAAUUGAGGGGGGCUGCUCCUAGUACGAGAGGACCGGAGUGGACGCAUCACUGGUGUUCGGGUUGUCAUGCCAAUGGCACUGCCCGGUAGCUAAAUGCGGAAGAGAUAAGUGCUGAAAGCAUCUAAGCACGAAACUUGCCCCGAGAUGAGUUCUCCCUGACUCCUUGAGAGUCCUGAAGGAACGUUGAAGACGACGACGUUGAUAGGCCGGGUGUGUAAGCGCAGCGAUGCGUUGAGCUAACCGGUACUAAUGAACCGUGAGGCUUAACCUUACAACGCCGAAGGUGUUU
rnacentral:rRNA from 1 species